rnacentral:rRNA from 1 species
UACGGGGGGUGCGAGCGUUGUCCGGAAUCACUGGGCGUAAAGGGCGCGUAGGUGGUUUGAUAAGGGUGUGGUGAAAGUCCGGAGCUCAACUCCGGAUCUGCCGUGCCGACUGUCAAACUCGAGGGCUGUAGAGGCAGACGGAAUUCCGGGUGUAGCGGUGGAAUACGUAGAGAUCCGGAGGAAGACCGGUGGCGAAGGCGGUCUGCUGGGCAGUUUCUGACACUGAGGCGCGACAGCGUGGGGAGCAAACGGGG